UACGUAGGGCGCAAGCGUUGUCCGGAAUUAUUGGGCGUAAAGAGCUCGUAGGCGGCCUGUCGCGUCUGCUGUGAAAUCCCGGGGCUUAACCCCGGGCGUGCAGUGGAUACGGGCUGGCUGGAGGCAGGCAGGGGAGAACGGAAUUCCCGGUGUAGCGGUGAAAUGCGCAGAUAUCGGGAGGAACACCGGUGGCGAAGGCGGUUCUCUGGGCCUGUUCUGACGCUGAGGAGCGAAAGCGUGGGGAGCGAAACAGGAUUGAGAUACCCCGUGUAG
rnacentral:rRNA from 1 species